GGCUGCCUGGCGAAAUGGUAUCGCGUCACUUUCCGGUACUGGAAUAUGGUGAAGAUUGCGGGUUCGAGUCCCGUGGUGGUCG
rnacentral:tRNA from 1 species